UUUUUCCUUAUUUAUAAAUUAAACUAAGAAUAUAAAUACAUCUCCAUCUGUUGAUAUUAUUUCCGUUAAAUACCGAUCGUUUAAAUUUGAUCUCUGUUAUAUUUUGAAGAUUGUCGUUUAAUUGGAUUUCAAAUUAUUAUAAAAUUUAUGUUAAUAAAUUUUUUUAUCAUAAACAUUUAUUGAUAUUAUUUAUUUGUAAUUUAGACGAUAAUAUAAUAAACUAUCAAUCUGAUUCAUUCAUAUAUUCAAGUAUUGAUCUUUCAGAAUCAAACCAAGAAUUUCUUUCAAGUUUCCAAUCAAAAUGCAAUUCUUAUUCUGAAUAUAUGGAUAUAAAGAAUUGGACUGUAGAACAUGUGGAAAAAUUUAUCAAUGAUCUUGGAUUUUCUGAAGUUGCAAACAGUUUUAAAUAUCAGGAAAUAGAUGGCAGAUCUUUAUUAUUAUUAAAACGGAAUGACAUUCUAACGGGACUCAAUUUGCCGCUUGGUCCUGCUUUGAAAUUACAUAACAAGAUCGAAAAUAUUCAAAAAGCACAUUUUUGUAAAUAAAUCCUUUCAUUUUUAAUAUCAAAAGCACAUACAUUUUAUAUGAAUUUCAAUAAAUAAUA